CCUGGUAGUUCACAUCUGUAAUACCAGCUACCAGGAAGGUUGUGACUGGUGGAUCUCUUGAACUCUGGAGUUCUGAGGUGCAGAGGACUAUGCUAAUCAAGUGUCCACAAUAAGUUCAACAUUAAUAUGAUGAUCCUCUGGGAGUGGGGUUCACAUCCUUGGGAGGGGGUCACUAGGUUGCCUAAGAAGGGGUGAAUUGAUCAAGGUUGGAAACAGUGCAGGUCAAAACUCCUGUACUAAUCAGUAAUGGUACUGUACUAAUCAGUAAAGGGUACUGGGCCCCUAAGUAAUUUUUUUACUUCCAACCUUGCUGAUAGGGAGAUUGUUUCUU
rnacentral:SRP_RNA from 1 species